UACGUAGGGUGCGAGCGUUGUCCGGAAUUACUGGGCGUAAAGAGCUCGUAGGCGGUGUGUCACGUCGGCCGUGAAAACCUGCAGCUUAACUGUGGGCGUGCGGUCGAUACGGGCAUCACUGGAGUUCGGCAGGGGAGACUGGAAUUCCUGGUGUAGCGGUGAAAUGCGCAGAUAUCAGGAGGAACGCCGGUGGCGAAGGCGGGGUCUCUGGGCCGUAACUGACGCUGGAGGAGCGAA
rnacentral:rRNA from 1 species